UGGGGAAUUUUGGACAAUGGGCGAAAGCCUGAUCCAGCAAUGCCGCGUGUGUGAAGAAGGCCUUCGGGUUGUAAAGCACUUUUGUCCGGAAAGAAAUCCUUGGCUCUAAUACAGUCGGGGGAUGACGGUACCGGAAGAAUAAGCACCGGCUAACUACGUGCCAGCAGCCGCGGUAAUACGUAGGGUGCAAGCGUUAAUCGGAAUUACUGGGCGUAAAGCGUGCGCAGGCGGUUUGCUAAGACCGAUGUGAAAUCCCCGGGCUCAACCUGGGAACUGCAUUGGUGACUGGCAGGCUAGAGUAUGGCAGAGGGGGGUAGAAUUCCACGUGUAGCAGUGAAAUGCGUAGAGAUGUGGAGGAAUACCGAUGGCGAAGGCAGCCCCCUGGGCCAAUACUGACGCUCAUGCACGAAAGCGUGGGGAGCAAACAGGAUUAGAUACCCUGGUAGUCCACGCCCUAAACGAUGUCAACUAGUUGUUGGGGAUUCAUUCCUUAGUAACGUAGCUAACGCGUGAAGUUGACCGCCUGGGGAGUACGGCCGCAAGGUUAAAACUUAAAUGAAUUGACGGGGUCAUAGCUGUUUCCU
rnacentral:rRNA from 1 species